rnacentral:rRNA from 1 species
AUUGAACGCUGGCGGCAGGCCUAACACAUGCAAGUCGAACGGUAACAGGAAACAGCCUGCUGUUUCGCGGACGAGUGGCGGACGGGUGAGUAAUGUCUAGGAAACUGCCUGAUGGAGGGGGAUAACUACUGGAAGCGGUAGCUAAUACCGCAUAACGUCGCAAGACCAAAGAGGGGGACCUUCGGGCCUCUUGCCAUCGGAUGUGCCCAGAUGGGAUUAGCUGGUAGGUGAGGUAACGGCUCACCUAGGCGACGAUCCCUAGCUGGUCUGAGAGGAUGACCAGCCACACUGGAACUGGGACACGGUCCAGACUCCUACGGGAGGCAGCAGUGGGGAAUAUUGCACAAUGGGCGCAAGCCUGAUGCAGCCAUGCCGCGUGUAUGAAGAAGGCCUUCGGGUUGUAAAGUACUUUCAGCGAGGAGGAAGGCGAUAAGGUUAAUAACCUUGUCGAUUGACGUUACUCGCAGAAGAAGCACCGGCUAACUCCGUGCCAGCCGCCGCCGUAA